AUGGACUCAAGAGAUUCUAAAGAAGAUGGACCAACAACUAGAAAGAGAAGCGCCAGACAGGCGUCCACGCAAGAUUUAUUUAUUGAGGAUCUUAAACCCAGAACCCCAAUAAAGAGAACCCGGAAAAUGAGGGAAGAUGAUGGAGCAUCCAGAGCUGUCAAUGGAGCCAAGGAGCCCAAGAGUCUCACUGAGGAGGACGAGGAUGAAUUCCCUGCUAAGAAGCUAAAGCUCCAAGAGAAGAGAAGGGUUAUAAAAGAGAAAGGUGAUGGUUUAAACCAAACAGAUGAUGCAAAUAUGGAGAUGAGUGAGAAAGAAGACCAGGAUCAAGAAAUGAACUCCGAUGAGGAGGCUGAGCAGGAGCAGGAGUCUAUUUUGACAGGUUCCUCAGCCCAGCCUGGGACAGAAGAAACGCAUCCUGCCCAUGUAAGGGAAGAAAAUCUGGAAAGUGAAGUGUCACUCAAAAAACAAAGGCCUAUUCAUCUAAAUAUUAAGGUCACUGAAAUACCCAAACACAAAGAAGAAAAUUACAGACCGGUCAUAAAAUGUGGAGGUUUGUUAUCAUUAAUAAAAUUACCUUUUAAAUUAGUUAAUAAAUUUGCAAUUAAACGGGCAGGGGCUCGUGCCACCCCUGGCCCGUUCCUUAUGUGCACACCUCUGCUCACAAGUGUCCUUUUCAUUGCAGAUGCCUCUAGUAUGGAUGCUGUUCAACUGGAACAUCAACAAGAUUAUAGAUUGAGAAAUAGGAAUAACAUGAUCUACCAGAAUCCUGUAACAGCGAAACUCAAAAGUUUGUAGAACUCUUUUAUUUUAUAUAUAUAUAUAUAUAAGUAGCCAUAUUUGUCCUGGUAAAAGUGCAAAAUUAUACUUAAUCACAUUCUUACUGUAUAUGUUAAAUUGUUUUCAUUCAUUUGAUUUAAUCAAAGGUUGUGUUCUUACUAUAGAUCCCCCUGGUCUUAGCAGUUGGAAUAGACAGCCACCAACUGAACCCCAGAAGAGUUACGUCUACCACAACAAAACUAAUCACAAAUACACAGGUAAAAAAAAAAUUAGUAUUUGUCCUUUUUAUUACUAAUUCACUGCAAUACUAUUGUCAAUUUUAUUGAAAGUAAAAAAAAAAAAUUGUAUUUGUCCUUUUUAUUACUAAUUCACUGCAAUACUAUUGUCAAUUUUAUUACUAUAGAUAUAUAUUCAAAAAUUUUACAUGAAUAGUUUUGUCUUAUGCCAGUAAAGACAAAUGGAUAAUAUUUAAGAAAUUGUAGAUCAUAAUUCUUUUACUUUGCCUUCAAGACUUGAAGAGUUUGCAGAAACCAGUCACCUCAAAAGCAAGUCCGACCUCCUCCUCUAGAGGUAUUUUCAGUAAUUCAUCCAUUCCUUUAUAAUUUACAUUUACGUUUAAUCAUUUAGCAGACGCUUUUAUCUGCUAUCUGCUUUAAUUUAUCUGCUUUAAUUGUUUUAUUAAUUAAAACAAUUGUACCUCUACCAAAUUUUGCUAUAAGUUUGAUUGCAUCACACAGUAAUUGCUGUUAAUAAUGUUCAUCGUCUGUUUGAUUACGUCUUUAAUUGAUUUUUCCGGACAUUUCUGCCAUAUGUACAUUAACUGACAGUCACCACUGAUAAGCUACUACUAAAUAUUGUAGAAACAGAAUUUUCUGUAAAGUUGCUUUGCAACGAUUUGUAUUGUGAAAAGCAUAAAAAUAAACAUAAAAAACAAUCAGAUUUGUUUCAUGUCCACAUUGUUUUGUUAAUUCAGAACUUCGUGUUUUUCUAGGCUGGAUGUUGUACAUAUGCAAGUGGUCUCUGAUACUGACAGGAUUACUUGUUUUGGGUCUUUUUUGUUUUUUUGGUCCUUACACUCCCAUUUGCCUCAAACUGAUGUGGUUCAUUCUAAAUCAGUGGAGAAAUUUGACCUGGAGUUAGCAGCUCUACGAGCUCUUUUUCCCAGUCAGCGCUCAGUGUUCUGGGAGAGGAGUGGGAAACAUCUUAAGAGCCACCUGAAGACGGUCAACCCCACUGAACCAGUCAGCGUAAUUCUGACUGCUGGCCUUCAGGCUGAAAAGACAUUGGGCUGCCUUGCUCGAAAAUUAGCCGGGGUGUACUCUGCUACCCAUAAUGCUUCAAUCUUAGAAAUCAAUGGGAACACCAAAAGAGCACAAGACAGUAAGCAGGUCAAGCUGGAGAUUGAUGAAGCGCUGAGGGAAGCAUUUGAAGGUGAUAAACCUGCAGCUGUUGUGCACCGUUUUGAGGAGCUCCCUCCUGGAUCUACGCUCAUAUUCUAUCGUUACUGUGACCAUGAGAAUGCAGCUUACAAGAAGGUUUUCCUGGUUUUCACUGUGAUGCUUUCGGUGGAUGAAAUAGCCCCGACGACCAGUCUAAGUGCAGUGGAGGACAUGGUACAUGACCAUGUAAAACAGAAGUUUGUCAUCUCAGACGAAUCCACUAUGUUUAAUCAAAUGGAUGUGGAUAAACUGAGUGGACUGUGGAGCAGAAUUUCUCACCUCAUCCUGCCAGUGGCUGCAGAGGAGAAAAUUGAACAGCAGGGAUGUGGGGCAUAACCUCAUGGAAAAUCAUAAGAUUAUAUUACUGUAUUGGGCUGGACAAGUCAUUUUGUAGAGUUUUGAGUUUAACUGGUCUAGUUCAUGAAUGUGCGGACCACAGAAAUGUACAUAAAAGAUCUUAAUUCCAAAGAGGUUUUUUAAAAAAUGUAUUUGUUUAUGAAUGUUUUAUUUUUGUAUUCGCCUACAUUUGGUUCUUUGUUUUCUUUGAUAAUAUGUAUGUGAAGGCAGACACUUGAUCAUAUAAUAAUAAUAAUAAUGAUAAUAAUAAUGCAUUUGGCAUUAUAUAGUAAGCAUUUGGCUUACAAUAUAAAUCAGUAAAUUAAUUGUUGUACAUUCUUUCCCAAGGCCAGAUGUGGUAAUGACUGAAGUUUCGCACUGAUUUUUGAAGUUUAACUUUGAAUUGUAAGCUAUAGGCUCUUUUUACCAAUCAAAAUUUUGUUUGGGUUUGGUGUUAUAUAUUUGCGUGACUAAGAAUAUAAUAAUUCAAAUCGAGUCUAUUUCUUUUCUUGUUGUAUCAUUUUCUUGUUCUCUGGUUAAUGCAUUUUUGUCAUAGUUCCUGUUUUAUCAUUCAAAAGUUUGCGGUGAGAUUUUAAAAAUGUUUUUUAAAUCAGUCUUUUAUGCAAUUAAAAAAAAAACAACAAUGCUGAUUUGGUGUUAAAGUUUUUUUUAUUACAAUCAAUGCUGUAUUUUUAUUACAGUCAAAGUGGUGCUGCUUGAUAUGUUUGUAAAAAAAAACAUGUUUUUUUAGGAUUCCUUGUUGAAUAGAAAACUCAAAAAAACACCAUUUAUUUGAAACCGCAUCCAAAACCAUAUCGCUGCAGUCUGGGAAACUAAAAUGUUACAAAAGAGUACCAGUGUUACUCAGAGACUCCAGAUCCUAUUUUACCGUUUUGGAGAAUGUAUGAGUUAAAGUUAUUAGACAGUGCUUUUUUAUGAUUUAUAGUUAUUAAACAAAUUUUUGAUUAUUUGCUGUCAGCCGCCCCAUCCAACAGUACCAGAUUUCCCCACAUGUGGCUUGGCUGUUUAUUACAAGAAGAAAAACUCUACAGGAAGAGGUCUGUUCAGCCAAAUGAAUGUUAGUUUUGGACUGUAUGAGAAGGAAAAAAAAAUGUAUAACAUCUAACGAGCAUCUGCCUAUUUCUAUUUAGUGGUGGAAAGCAGGACCCCAUUAGGAGUCUCUCCCCAAAAAAAAAUACGAGAUGCGG
rnacentral:lncRNA from 1 species